rnacentral:rRNA from 1 species
GGUUAAGCGACUAAGCGUACACGGUGGAUGCCCUGGCAGUCAGAGGCGAUGAAGGACGUGCUAAUCUGCGAUAAGCGUCGGUAAGGUGAUAUGAACCGUUAUAACCGGCGAUUUCCGAAUGGGGAAACCCAGUGUGUUUCGACACACUAUCAUUAACUGAAUCCAUAGGUUAAUGAGGCGAACCGGGGGAACUGAAACAUCUAAGUACCCCGAGGAAAAGAAAUCAACCGAGAUUCCCCCAGUAGCGGCGAGCGAACGGGGAGGAGCCCAGAGUCUGAAUCAGUGUGUGUGUUAGUGGAAGCGUCUGGAAAGGCGCGCGAUACAGGGUGACAGCCCCGUACACAAAAAUGCACAUACUGUGAGCUCGAUGAGUAGGGCGGGACACGUGGUAUCCUGUCUGAAUAUGGGGGGACCAUCCUCCAAGGCUAAAUACUCCUGACUGACCGAUAGUGAACCAGUACCGUGAGG